rnacentral:rRNA from 1 species
GGGGGGGGGGGGGGGGGGGCUGAGGGGGGGGGGGGGGGGCGGAGAGGGCGUGCGGGGGUGGGGUGCUCGGGUGGCGAACGGGUGGGGAACAGGUGAGGAACCUGCCCUGGACUUUGGGAUAACUUCGGGAAACUGGGGCUAAUACCGGAUAGGAGCUCCUGCGGCAUGGGGGGGGUGGGAAAGUUUCGGCGGUUGGGGAUGGACUCGCGGCUUAUCAGCUUGUUGGUGGGGUAGUGGCUUACCAAGGCUUUGACGGGUAGCCGGCCUGAGAGGGUGACCGGCCACAUUGGGACUGAGAUACGGCCCAGACUCCUACGGGAGGCAGCAGUGGGGAAUAUUGCACAAUGGGCGGAAGCCUGAUGCAGCAACGCCGCGUGCGGGAUGACGGCCUUCGGGUUGUAAACCGCUUUCGCCUGUGACGAAGCGUGAGUGACGGUAAUGGGUAAAGAAGCACCGGCUAACUACGUG